GACGAACCGUGCGAACGUUAUUCGGAAUCACUGGGCGUUAAAGCGCGUGUAGGCGGGACGGCACGUCGGUCGCUGAAAGCCCCCGGCUCAACCGGGGAACGGGCGCCGAUACGACCGCCUGGAGGAACGUAGGGGACCUGGAACUUCCGGUGGAGCGGUGAAAUGCGUUGAGAUCGGAAGGAACGCCCGAUGGCGAAAGCGGCUCACUGGACCAUUACUGACGCUG
rnacentral:rRNA from 1 species